rnacentral:rRNA from 1 species
GAGUUUGAUCCUGGCUCAGGAUGAACGCUGGCGGCACGCCUAACCCAUGCAAGUCGAACGAGGUAGCAAUACCUAGUGGCGGACGGGUGAGUAACAUGUAGGAAUCUACCCCAGAGUCUCGGAUACCCGGCCGAAAGGUCGGCUAAUACGAGAUAGUCUCUACGGAGUAAAGAAUUUCGCUCUGGGAAGAGCCUGCACCCUAUCAGCUUGUUGGUGAGGUAAUAGCUUACCAAGGCAAUGACGGGUAGCUGGUCUGAGAGGAUGAUCAGCCACAAUGGCACUGAGACACGGGCCAUACAUCUACGGAUGGCAGCAGGUGGGAAUAUUGCGCAAUGGACGAAAGUCUGACGCAGCGAUGCCGCGUGAAGGAUUGAAGGUUUUCGGAUCGUAAACUUCUUUUAUAUGGGAAGAUUACGACGGUACCAUAUGAAUAAGGGCCGGCUAACUACGUGCCAGCAGCCGCGGUGAUACGUAGGGCCCAAGCGUUAUCCGGAUUUAUUGGGCGUAAAGAGUAUGUAGGCGGUUUUGUAAGUUGUUUGUUAAAUUUCUUGGCUUAACCAAGAUCCAGCAUACAAUACUGCAAAACUGGAGUAUAGCAGGGGCAAGUGGAAUUCCCGGUGUAGGGAUUAAAUCCGUUGAUAUCGGGAGGAACACCAAUGGCGAAGGCAGCUUGCUAGGCUAUUACUGAC